GGGGGAUACAGAUACAAAUGUAUACAUCCAUAUAUAUAUACAGAUACAAUCCCAAUUCCAAGUCGUGCAGUUAGGUUGUUACAUCCCCAUGCAUGGGGAUAGAUACACGGAAAACUCGUAUUUCUGCCACCAAGCGAGCCGAGAGGCUGAGGACUGUAGAACCGAGACUGGAGCUGAAAGGUCAAUGCAUUUAGUUAAUGCAGCCCAUGCCAGUUUAUUUUGUACUGCACUUUGUCCCAAUACGUCUCUGUGUGUGUGCGUAUCUGUGUGUUUACAUUGGAGCUGGGUGAACUGUUGUAGUUUAGCCAGCAGCCCCCACACAGAAACGCUGAGGAGAUAUUAAAACAAGCCUCUGUUCUCCGAACUCCCCCACGCUAGUUUAUCUAAGGCCCCAACAUCAGCAACUUUAUAAAACUACUCAGAAGAGGCCUAGCGUAUUGGAGAUACAGCAUCCCGGACAAAUAUUUUUUAAGGUGGACUUGAAAUAAUGGAAAAAGAUACUAUAAGCGGGAGAGCAGCCCCAAAAGGAAGAUCAGCCUCCACACAGCCACUCUGCUCCACACUAAUAUCGACACAAGUUCACUCACAGCUGCGCGCCAAACAUUGUUGUCAACACAAAUAAACAUCAUCAUUAUCAUGCCGUCGAUAUCUGGAGGCCAGAAACAAUAAAACCAAAUAAAUAAAAACUCCCAAAACGACCGUUUAGAAUAUUCCCACGCAAAUUGAAGACGCCUCCUCCCUUUUUUGGGCUCCAAAAAUUUGCUACAGUAAAAAUUAGAAGAAACAUGAAGAGCAAAAAAAAUAUAUAUAUCACACAAAUGGACCCACAAAAAAGACCCAAGACCAGAUCAGCCGAGAUCUAUAAACGCCGAUUGGCAAAUAUUUAAUACUCUGCGUAAACUUUAAACAACUUGACAAUUUCACACUCGCCUGCGAAGCGAAACAACUGGCAGACCAUCUCCCUCCUGCCUGUUUUAUGAUCUUCAAAUAUGCAUGUCUCCCCGCCAUACAAUACUCGCCAUCCCAUCGCCGUCUCCUCAUCGACUUGUUGGCUUUGUUGAGCCCUUGGACCCCGUCUGGCUAGUCCGUCCCAGUGUCUUUUGGAAUAUCUGGAUUCCACUCCACGUCGCCAGCCUCUCGAUUGCGUAUCUCCAUACAAUACCACAUAUGACAGACGGCGCUCAGCAUUUCCGUUUGUCAGCUGGUUUCUGGGAUUCUGUUGGAUUCUGGUGUCUGGAGUUCUCUGGAGAUUCGAGUACUGGAUGAUGCUGAGGAUGUUGUCGCUGCUUGGGGUACAAAUUCCGGGCCAGGCAAGCAUUCGCAGAAAAUGUGGAAACAAACAAUUGUUUUAACUGGAAGAAGGCGUGCAAAAUGCGUCAAAUGCUGUUCACACUUGGCCUAGGCGCUAGUCCAGGCCCUUCAACUGCGGUGGUGCCCCUCGUCCUCAACCACGGAUUCUGCCUUUCCCACAAUCAUCGCACUUCUCCCAGUUCGAGUUCAAGUUUUUAGUUUCAUUCAUGUUUCUGUUUAUUUUCGUAAGGCGUGAAGUUUGUGGCAAGCGAACGCGGGAUGCUUGGGUGGCCAAACGGAAUGCGUUUCAGAUAAGUCGGGUGUUAGUCAUUUAAAAUAACGGGAAACUGUUCUAGACAUUAUCAACAUCAACAUUUAGAGAAAAAAUAAGCAGAAAUUACAAAAAAAAUUAAAUAAAAAUUGCAUUUAUGGGUGGUCCAAAUUGAAAAGGCUGAGAAUUUGCGAGAAUUUUUAUUGAAAAAGUUAUUAUUUCUUUGCAAGCUGUAUAUUUGUGAUUGAGUGGUUAUAAUUAACUCAAUGGAUGUAUUCCUUUUUCAAGGCAAUUUUUAGCCAGUCACUCUCCAAAAUAGGAAACUAGCAAUUUAGUGAACCUAAAUUAGUUCGGGGAAUAUCAUGUUAACAGCUUUCAUAAUAAACCAAUUAACACUUUCCGCUGAGAUCAAAAGCCAACUUCUCUCUCUCAAGAUCUGAGGCUAAAAUCGUACAUCUCCUUUUUUGCAAUGCAAUUGUAAGUGCACUUUGUAUCUGUAACUGCAUCGCACACGUACCAUGACCAUGCAGGGCCCGUCCAUCUGUGUCGUUAAGUACACUCAAAAGUCACGAAGCAUAAAAGAUGCAAACAAGCUGAAUGAACGACGGUCACCAGCAAAGCACAAAAUACAUAAAUACAAAGUGACUACAGUUUGUUUUCAUUUAAAUUGAAAUUGAAGUCCAGUCCCACACACUUACAUACUCCACUCCGGCUUCGAUUCCCUCCGAUUCGGACCUGCUCCCAGGCCCCAGGCUAUAGGUUGUCCGAUUCCUGGGCCCCGGGCUCCAAGGCGACCGCAACCACAGACACUCAUUACAAAUACAAACAGAAUACGACCCCUUAAGCCAUGCACACGAAAAAAUUGGAUUAGUU